rnacentral:rRNA from 1 species
GAUGAACGCUGGCGGCGUGCCUAAUACAUGCAAGUCGAGCGAAUGGAUUAAGAGCUUGCUCUUAUGAAGUUAGCGGCGGACGGGUGAGUAACACGUGGGUAACCUGCCCAUAAGACUGGGAUAACUCCGGGAAACCGGGGCUAAUACCGGAUAACAUUUUGAACCGCAUGGUUCGAAAUUGAAAGGCGGCCUCGGCUGUCACUUAUGGAUGGACCCGCGUCGCAUUAGCUAGUUGGUGAGGUAACGGCUCACCAAGGCAACGAUGCGUAGCCGACCUGGGAGGGUGAUCGGCCCCACUGGGACUGAGACACGGCCCAGACUCCUACGGGAGGCAGCAGUAGGGAAUCUUCCGCAAUGGACGAAAGUCUGACGGAGCAACGCCGCGUGAGUGAUGAAGGCUUUCGGGUCGUAAAACUCUGUUGUUAGGGAAGAACAAGUGCUAGUUGAAUAAGCUGGCACCUUGACGGUACCUAACCAGAAAGCCACGGCUAACUACGUGCCAGCCGCCGCCGUAA